UCCAUAGGCGGGCAAUUAAGUCAGAGGUGAAAUCCCACAGCUCAACUGUGGAACUGCCUUUGAUACUGGUUGUCUUGAGUUACAGUGAAGUAGAUAGAAUAUGUAGUGUAGCGGUGAAAUGCAUAGAUAUUACAUAGAAUACCGAUUGCGAAGGCAGUCUACUAACUGUAUACUGACGCUAAUGGACGAAAGCGUGGGGAGCGAACAGGAUUAGAUACCCUGGUAGUCC
rnacentral:rRNA from 1 species